GAUGAACGCUGGCGGCGUGCCUAAUACAUGCAAGUAGAACGCUGAAGGAAGGAGCUUGCUCUUUCCGGAUGAGUUGCGAACGGGUGAGUAACGCGUAGGUAACCUGCCUGGUAGCGGGGGAUAACUAUUGGAAACGAUAGCUAAUACCGCAUAACAGUAUAUGUUGCAUGAUAUCUACUUAAAAGGUGCAAUUGCACCGCUACCAGAUGGACCUGCGUUGUAUUAGCUAGUUGGUGAGGUAACGGCUCACCAAGGCGACGAUACAUAGCCGACCUGAGAGGGGGGUCGGCCAAACUGGGACUGGAACACGGCCCAGACUCCCACGGGGAGGAGCAGUAGGGGAUCUUCGGCAAUGGACGGAAGGCUGAACGGGCAACGCCGCGUGAGGGAAGGAGGUUUUCGGAUCGUAAAGAUCUGUUGUAAGAGAAGAACGAGUGGGGGAGUGGAAAGUUCACACUGUGACGGUAUCUUACCAGAAAGGCACGGCUAACUACGUG
rnacentral:rRNA from 1 species